UACGUAGGGGGCUAGCGUUGUCCGGAAUUAUUGGGCGUAAAGGGCUCGUAGGCGGUUUGUCGCGUCGGGAGUGAAAACCAUGGGCUUAACUCAUGGCUUGCUUUCGAUACGGGCAGACUAGAGGUAUGCAGGGGAGAACGGAAUUCCUGGUGUAGCGGUGAAAUGCGCAGAUAUCAGGAGGAACACCGGUGGCGAAGGCGGUUCUCUGGGCAUGAUCUGACGCUGAGGAGCGAAAGUGUGGGGAGCGAACAGG
rnacentral:rRNA from 1 species